rnacentral:rRNA from 1 species
UGCGUAGGUGGCGUCGUAAGUCGGGUGUGAAAUCUCGGGGCUUAACUCCGAAACUGCAUUCGAUACUGCGGUGCUUGAGGACUGGAGAGGAGACUGGAAUUUACGGUGUAGCAGUGAAAUGCGUAGAGAUCGUAAGGAAGACCAGUGGCGAAGGCGGGUCUCUGGACAGUUCCUGACACUGAGGCACGAAGGCCAGGGAGGCAAAACG